UGUUCAGUAACUCCUAUCCCUACUUCCCCGCAGUGCCACCUGGGUACGAGUAACUGGCUGGAAUAUGUUAACAGGGAAGA
rnacentral:ribozyme from 1 species